GUGAGGGCUGUAGCAGCACAUCAGCAUCGGCUGAUGACGGGAAACGAUCGCUCCCGAUGCAGAACCUUACCAUAAACAAAUUUGUGAGAUC
rfam:Gadgets Gully virus isolate OTT53.IT9 polyprotein gene, complete cds